rnacentral:rRNA from 1 species
GUCUACAGCCAUGCUACCCUGAACAAGCCCGAUCUCCUCUGAUCUCGGAAGCUAAGCAGGAUUGGGCCUGGUUAGUACUUGGAUGGGAGACCACUUAGGAAGACCAGGCUUUAAAAAAA